rnacentral:rRNA from 1 species
GGGCGGGGGCUGCCUAUACAUGCAAGUCGAACGAGCUUCCGUUGAAUGACGUGCUUGCACUGAUUUUAACAAUGAAGCGAGUGGCGAACUGGUGAGUAACACGUGGGAAAUCUGCCCAGAAGCAGGGGAUAACACUUGGAAACAGGUGCUAAUACCGUAUAACAACAAAAUCCGCAUGGAUUUUGUUUGAAAGGUGGCUUCGGCUAUCACUUCUGGAUGAUCCCGCGGCGUAUUAGUUAGUUGGUGAGGUAAAGGCCCACCAAGACGAUGAUACGUAGCCGACCUGAGAGGGUAAUCGGCCACAUUGGGACUGAGACACGGCCCAAACUCCUACGGGAGGCAGCAGUAGGGAAUCUUCCACAAUGGACGAAAGUCUGAUGGAGCAAUGCCGCGUGAGUGAAGAAGGGUUUCGGCUCGUAAAACUCUGUUGUUAAAGAAGAACACCUUUGAGAGUAACUGUUCAAGGGUUGACGGUAUUUAACCAGAAAGCCACGGCUAACUACGUGCCAGCAGCCGCGGUAAUACGUAGGUGGCAAGCGUUGUCCGGAUUUAUUGGGCGUAAAGCGAGCGCAGGCGGUUUUUUAAGUCUGAUGUGAAAGCCUUCGGCUUAACCGGAGAAGUGCAUCGGAAACUGGGAGACUUGAGUGCAGAAGAGGACAGUGGAACUCCAUGUGUAGCGGUGGAAUGCGUAGAUAUAUGGAAGAACACCAGUGGCGAAGGCGGCUGUCUAGUCUGUAACUGACGCUGAGGCUCGAAAGCAUGGGUAGCGAACAGGAUUAGAUACCCUGGUAGUCCAUGCCGUAAACGAUGAGUGCUAAGUGUUGGAGGGUUUCCGCCCUUCAGUGCUGCAGCUAACGCAUUAAGCACUCCGCCUGGGGAGUACGACCGCAAGGUUGAAACUCAAAGGAAUUGACGGGGGCCCGCACAAGCGGUGGAGCAUGUGGUUUAAUUCAAAGCUACGCGAAGAACCUUACCAGGUCUUGACAUCUUCUGCCAAUCUUAGAGAUAAGAGGUACCCU